rnacentral:rRNA from 1 species
UGGCGGCAUGCCUAACACAUGCAAGUCGAACGAACCCUUCGGGGUUAGUGGCGCACGGGUGCGUAACGCGUGGGAACCUGCCUUUAGGUUCGGAAUAACAGUUAGAAAUGACUGCUAAUACCGGAUGAUGUCUUCGGACCAAAGAUUUAUCGCCUUUAGAUGGGCCCGCGUUAGAUUAGAUAGUUGGUGGGGUAAUGGCCUACCAAGUCGACGAUCUAUAGCUGGUCUGAGAGGAUGAUCAGCCACACUGGGACUGAGACACGGCCCAGACUCCUACGGGAGGCAGCAGUGGGGAAUAUUGGACAAUGGGCGAAAGCCUGAUCCAGCAAUGCCGCGUGAGUGAUGAAGGCCUUAGGGUUGUAAAGCUCUUUUACCAGGGAUGAUAAUGACAGUACCUGGAGAAUAAGCUCCGGCUAACUCCGUGCCAGCAGCCGCGGUAAUACGGAGGGAGCUAGCGUUGUUCGGAAUUACUGGGCGUAAAGCGCGCGUAGGCGGC